rnacentral:rRNA from 1 species
GACGAACGCUGGCGGCGUGCUUAACACAUGCAAGUCGAACGGAAAGGCCCCCUUGUUUGGUGCUCGAGUGGCGAACGGGUGAGUAACACGUGAGUAACCUACCCUUGACUUUUGGAUAACUUCAGGAAACUGGGGCGAAUACCGGAUAGGAGCUCCGUCUGCAUGGUGAGGGUGGGAAAGUUUCGGCGGUUGGGGAUGGACUCUCGGCUUAUCAGCUUGUUGGUGGGGUAGUGGCUCACCAAGGCUUUGACGGGUAGCCCACCUGAGAGGGUGAACGGCCACAAUGGGCCUGAGAGACGGAGCAGAGUGGUACGGGAGGCAACAGUGGGGAGUAUUGCACAAUGGGGGGGCGCCUGAUGAGGAGGCGCCGCGGGCGGGAAGAAGGCCUUGGGGUUAUGAACCGAUUUAGCCUGUGACGAAGCGUGAGUGACGGUAAUGGGUAAAGAAGCACCGGCUAACUACGUG